rnacentral:rRNA from 1 species
GACCAGACUCCUACGGGAGGCAGCAGUGGGGGAUAUUGCACAAUGGGGGAAACCCUGAUGCAGCGACGCCGCGUGUGGGAAGACGGUCCUCUGGAUUGUAAACCACUGUCCCCAGGGACGAAGAUGACGGUACCUGGGGAGGAAGCUCCGGCUAACUACGUGCCAGCAGCCGCGGUAAUACGUAGGGAGCAAGCGUUAUCCGGAUUUAUUGGGUGUAAAGGGUGCGUAGACGGGAAUGCAAGUUAGUUGUGAAAUCCCUCGGCUUAACUGAGGAACUGCAACUAAAACUACAUUUCUUGAGUGCUGGAGAGGAAAGUGGAAUUCCUAGCGUAGCGGUGAAAUGCGUAGAUAUUAGGAGGAACACCAGUGGCGAAGGCGACUUUCUGGACAGUAACUGACGUUGAGGCACGAAAGUGUGGGGAGCAAACAGGAUUAGAUACCCCGGUAC